CGGAGGGUGCGAGCGUUGUCCGGAAUCAUUGGGCGUAAAGGGCGCGUAGGUGGCCCGGUCAGUCCGUGGUGAAAGCGCGGGGCUCAACCCUGCGUCGGCCAUGGAUACUGCCGCGGCUGGAGCACUGUAGAGGCAGGCGGAAUUCCGGGUGUAGCGGUGGAAUGCGUAGAGAUCCGGAAGAACACCGGUGGCGAAGGCGGCCUGCUGGGCAGUGGGGGAGACCCCUUCAAGCUGACACUGAGGCGCGACAGCGUGGGGAGCAAACAGGAUUAGAUACCCUGGUAGUCCACGCCGUAAACGAUGGGCACUAGGCGCUUGGGGGAGCGACCCCCGAGGGCCGGCGCUAACGCAUUAAGUGCCCCGCCUGGGGAGUACGGCCGCAAGGCUG
rnacentral:rRNA from 1 species